GACCCGAAAUAUUUUCUAGCAGAAUUACCAGCUAUCUUGAAUCACUUGCACUCAUGUAUGAUUCACCUCCGAUACCUUUGCACCACUUCACUCUAAUGAACUUUGUGGAGGCAAAUGAUGUGCCCCUUUUUCUAGUCAAUGCUCUUCCUUCCUAACCUCCAAUGUUGCAAUCUUUUACAAUUUGGCCAAAUUUAAGGUCCAUUUUGGCCCUCUCCAAUGAAUCACUCCCCCCUUUCAAGGGUUCAUGUGAAAUCCUAGUAGAACACUAUCCUUUCUCACUCAUUCUCACUUGACAAAGGUAGCUAGAGAA
rnacentral:lncRNA from 1 species